rnacentral:lncRNA from 1 species
CCGGGAUUCCCUGGAGAGAUUCGCGGCGUCUCCCGAGAGGUGGCGCGCGGUGAGGGCAGGCGAGGUCCCGGCGCCGCGGCCUCCUGCCGGGUAGGAAGCCCGGGGAGCGCCUCUCCGCCGCCGCCCGUCGCCCCGGAAGUCGCGCCCUGAGAUUCCGGGCACUUUCUUUUUCUUCUUUGGAAUGGUGUGAUGUCCGCGGUUGUUUUUGUCCUUAUACCUGAAGACGCCAAGCUUUUCAAAAGCCAUCAGAAGGCGCGGCCUGCCACCUGGACAAACGCGGUCUCCCCCAGAGCCCGGUUGCGCCCCGAAGCCGGGUUCCGUCCCAUCUCCGACAAAGACACUUCCUGAUUUGCCCCUCGCCAGACUCCAGCAAUUUUCUGGGUCCCCGGGAAGCUGAUUUCGCCUCUGGGCUUCCAUGAUUAGUGGCAGCUGGAGCGCUGCUCCCCAACCUGGGCCCACUUUAGGGUGUGUGGGGCAGGGAGGAGGGUGGGGUCACUCUUAAUCUCGUGUCACAGCUAAAUAAUUUACUCAAGGUCUUCUCUUCCUGCCAGUUCCCUUCCCUGUUCCACUGCCCUUGACUUCCUGCUUUGUGAAGCCCCGGG